rnacentral:rRNA from 1 species
AUUGAACGCUGGCGGCAUGCCUUACACAUGCAAGUCGAACGGCAGCACGGGAGCAAUCCUGGUGGCGAGUGGCGAACGGGUGAGUAAAGUAUCGGAACGUGCCUAGUCGUGGGGGAUAACGUAGCGAAAGUUACGCUAAUACCGCAUACGAUCUACGGAUGAAAGCGGGGGAUCGCAAGACCUCGCGCGAUUGGAGCGGCCGAUAUCAGAUUAGGUAGUUGGUGGGGUAAAGGCUCACCAAGCCGACGAUCUGUAGCUGGUCUGAGAGGACGACCAGCCACACUGGGACUGAGACACGGCCCAGACUCCUACGGGAGGCAGCAGUGGGGAAUUUUGGACAAUGGGCGAAAGCCUGAUCCAGCCAUGCCGCGUGCAGGAUGAAGGCCUUCGGGUUGUAAACUGCUUUUGCACGGAACGAAAAGGUUUGGGCUAAUAAGCUGAGCUCAUGACGGUACCGUAAGAAUAAGCACCGGCUAACUACGUGCCAGCAGCCGCAGUAA